GCUGUAUUGGCUUUUUCUGUUGUUCCACACAACCCAAAAAAGUAUGUUUGUUAGUGGAAGGAAAUUAUUCUCCAGCUUCUGAGAAAGUGCUGUGGAAUAUACACUGUUUCUGUGUGGACAACGUACAGCAGAUGAGAGCAAAACACAAAGUUCAGGUCAAAGCUUAGGUCGGACCUGUGAUCCGAGGUCUCUUUCUCCAUAGUGCAGACUGUGUGGGCCUUGCAAGAAAAAUGGUGCAGUGUUUAAGACACUGUCUUGGAAAAUAGGACUGUUGUAGUCAAUUCCAUAUUCUACCCCGCUUUUUCUGGCAGCAGCAGUUUGGAAGUAAACCUUUCUAAAGAAAGUCCCUAGGCAAGACAAAGUUAACAUGAGAAGAGAGUAUCUGAGGAGGAAUUUCAUAGCUCUCCUUUGCUCUAGCCUACCUUAAGAGGCCAAACAUCACAGAAUCAUUUGUGCUGGAAAGGACCUUGUGCUAAAAAGUGUCUGUCAGGCCCCAGGUCACAGGGGAAGAUGCCUUCUAUCAGCUUCUUUCCAUAAUUCAGAAGGGUGCCAGUGAUUGUGGCAGGCCAGCUCUAGAUCCGUAACUCCUCACAUAUACAGGUCAUUGGGUGCCUGUCUCUUAGAAAGGCUCCUGACAAGGCAGGCAUGACAACCAGAUAAUGAAUGCUUUGAAGAACAUAAGAAGCUUCACUUUGCUUCAAUCCUUUGGGAUCACAGAAGAGAUACAGAUAAAGAUGUGCUGUCUUGAAAGCAGUCGUGUCACAAAAUCACAGACUAUACCCUGGAAAUGACACUUGGAGAAUGAAAGAAUCUAAUUCCCUGCUCAAAACAGGGCUGACUCUGGAGUUAGAUCAAG